rnacentral:rRNA from 1 species
GUCGAGAAUAAUUCACAAUGGACGAAAGUCUGAUGGUGCAACGCCGCGUGGAGGAUGACGGUCUUCGGAUUGUAAACUCCUGUCAUCCGGGAGUAAGACCUGGCUGUGAAUAGCAGACAGGGUUGAUAGUACCGGAAGAGGAAGGGACGGCUAACUUCGUGCCAGCAGCCGCGGUAAUACGAAGGUCCCGAGCGUUGGUCGGAAUCACUGGGCGUAAAGGGAGCGUAGGCGGCGUGGUAAGUCAGAUGUGAAAGCCCGGGGCUCAACCCCGGAACUGCAUCCGAUACUGCCGUGCUAGAGGAUUGGAGAGGUAGCUGGAAUUCUUGGUGUAGCAGUGAAAUGCGUGGAGAUCAAGAGGAACACUCGUGGCGAAAGCGAGCUACUGGACAAUAUCUGACGCUGAGGCUCGAAGGCCAGGGUAGCGAAAGGGAUUAGAAACCCGAGUAGUCC